rnacentral:lncRNA from 1 species
AUGCUAGAAGAUGAACCCUCUGGCUCUCUCUGUCUCUUCGUCACUCGGUCUUCAAGUAGCUCAAUGAGUGCAUCUUUGUCCUUAGACUUCAACUGUAACUCUUCAUGCUUCUUGCUCAAAGCAUGGAAACGCUCUUCCCACAUAUCUUUCUCUCGCUUCAUCUUGACCAGUGCAUCUUCCAACUCCUCUACAUCUUGGUUAGGGAGAGUUAAUGGCUCAACCACAACCAUAGACAUAGGUCUUUCACAAGGAUAAUGCAUCUUCAAA